rnacentral:sRNA from 1 species
AGUAUGCUGGUAUAAUAUAUUAUGAGCAAGUUGGAUAGAUGGUGGCUAAUCUCUUGAAAAAAGGGGUGAUGCCUAUGAUGAUAGAAGUUACUCCUGGAAAGGAGCAUCAUGACUGAUUAUGAAAUGCUGAUGGUUGUAAUGACAAUCAUUGGCUUAGUAUUGAUUAGUCGCAGUAGUCA